AUUGAACGCUGGCGGCAGGCUUAACACAUGCAAGUCGAGCGGAGAUGAGGUGCUUGCACCUUAUCUUAGCGGCGGACGGGUGAGUAAUGCUUAGGAAUCUGCCUAUUAGUGGGGGACAACAUUCCGAAAGGAAUGCUAAUACCGCAUACGCCCUACGGGGGAAAGCAGGGGAUCUUCGGACCUUGCGCUAAUAGAUGAGCCUAAGUCGGAUUAGCUAGUUGGUGGGGUAAAGGCCUACCAAGGCGACGAUCUGUAGCGGGUCUGAGAGGAUGAACCGCCACACUGGGACUGAGACACGGCCCAGACUCCUACGGGAGGCAGCAGUGGGGAAUAUUGGACAAUGGGCGGAAGCCUGAUCCAGCCAUGCCGCGUGUGUGAAGAAGGCCUUUUGGUUGUAAAGCACUUUAAGCGAGGAGGAGGCUACCUGGAUUAAUACUCUAGGAUAGUGGACGUUACUCGCAGAAUAAGCACCGGCUAACUCUGUGCCAGCCGCCGCUGUAAUAC
rnacentral:rRNA from 1 species